rnacentral:rRNA from 1 species
GACGAACGCUGGCGGCGUGCUUAACACAUGCAAGUCGAACGGAAAGGCCCUGCUUUUGUGGGGUGCUCGAGUGGCGAACGGGUGAGUAACACGUGAGUAACCUGCCCUUGACUUUGGGAUAACUUCAGGAAACUGGGGCUAAUACCGGAUAGGAGCUCCUGCUGCAUGGUGGAGGUUGGAAAGUUUCGGCGGUUGGGGAUGGACUCGCGGCUUAUCAGCUUGUUGGUGGGGUAGUGGCUUACCAAGGCUUUGACGGGUAGCCGGCCUGAGAGGGUGACCGGCCACAUUGGGACUGAGAUACGGCCCAGACUCCUACGGGAGGCAGCAGUGGGGAAUAUUGCACAACGGGCGGAAGCCUGAUGCAGCAACGCCGCGUGCGGGAUGACGGCCUUCGGGUUGUAAACCGCUUUCGCCUGUGACGAAGCGUGAGUGACGGUAAUGGGUAAAGAAGCACCGGCUAACUACGUGCCAGCAGCCGCGGUGAUACGUAGGGUGCGAGCGUUGUCCGGAUUUAUUGGGCGUAAAGGGCUCGUAGGUGGUUGAUCGCGUCGGAAGUGUAAUCUUGGGGCUUAACCCUGAGCGUGCUUUCGAUACGGGUUGACUUGAGGAAGGUAGGGGAGAAUGGAAUUCCUGGUGGAGCGGUGGAAUGCGCAGAUAUCAGGAGGAACACCAGUGGCGAAGGCGGUUCUCUGGGCCUUUCCUGACGCUGAGGAGCGAAAGCGUGGGGAGCGAACAGGCUUAGAUACCCUGGUAGUCCACGCUGUAAACGGUGGGUACUAGGUGUGGGGUCCAUUCCACGGGUUCCGUGCCGUAGCUAACGCUUUAAGUACCCCGCCUGGGGAGUACGGCCGCAAGGCUAAAACUCAAAGGAAUUGACGGGGCCCCGCACAAGCGGCGGAGCAUGCGGAUUAAUUCGAUGCAACGCGUAGAACCUUACCUGGGUUUGACAUGGAUCGGGAGUGCUCAGAGAUGGGUGUGCCUCUUUUGGGGUCGGUUCACAGGUGGUGCAUGGCUGUCGUCAGCUCGUGUCGUGAGAUGUUGGGUUAAGUCCCGCAACGAGCGCAACCCUUGUUCACUGUUGCCAGCACGUUAUGGUGGGGACUCAGUGGAGACCGCCGGGGUCAACUCGGAGGAAGGUGGGGAUGACGUCAAGUCAUCAUGCCCCUUAUGUCCAGGGCUUCACGCAUGCUACAAUGGCUGGUACAGAGAGUGGCGAGCCUGUGAGGGUGAGCGAAUCUCGGAAAGCCGGUCUCAGUUCGGAUUGGGGUCUGCAACUCGACCUCAUGAAGUCGGAGUCGCUAGUAAUCGCAGAUCAGCAACGCUGCGGUGAAUACGUUCCCGGG